rnacentral:rRNA from 1 species
UGGGGAAUAUUGCACAAUGGAGGGAACUCUGCUGCAGCAACGCCGCGUGCGGGAUGACGGCCUUCGGGUUGUAAACCGCUUUCAGCCAUGACGCAGCUUUUGUGACGGUAGUGGUAGAAGACGCCCCGGCUAACUCCGUGCCACCCGCCGCGGUGAUACGUAGGGUGCGAGCGUUGUCCGGAAUUAUUGGGCGUAAAGGGCUUGUAGGCGGUUUGUCGCGUCGAUAGUGUAAACACGCAGCUUAACUGUGUGCCUGCUGUCGAUACGGGCUGAAUAGAGGGGGGGAGGGGAGAAUGGAAUUCCCGGUGGGGCGGUGGAAUGCGCAGAUAUCGGGAGGAACACCAGUGGCGAAGGCGGUUCUCUGGACCUUUCCUGACGAUGAGGAGCGAAAGCGUGGGUAGCAAACAGG